rnacentral:rRNA from 1 species
GUCUACGGCCGCGCCACCCUGAACAAGCCCGAUGUCUGAUUGCAGAAGCUAAGCAGGGUCGGGCCUGGUACUUGGAUGGGAGACCCCCUAGGAAGACCCGGUGCUGUAGGCG